AAGCAGGUCUACAGGGUGCCAUUUGAACGCAAUUCAGAAAGAGUCAAAGAAUUGCGAUAUAACUAUGUGCAAAGAGUCCUUGAGCUAGAGGUGGCUGCAGUGGAGCACCAGUUCAUCUUCAUUGAUGAGGUUGGAUUCAAUCUCACAAAAA